CAGAGAUUAGUUUAAUAAAAAUAUUAGUUUUGGGGAUUAAUGAUAAGAGGUAUUCUUUUAUCUCUGA
rnacentral:tRNA from 1 species